AACGUAGGUGGCAAGCGUUAUCCGGAAUUACUGGGCGUAAAGCGUGCGCAGGCGGUUUUGUAAGCCAGAUGUGAAAGCCCCGGGCUUAACCCGGGAAUGGCAUUUGGGACUGCAAGGCUUGAGUGCGGCAGAGGAGACUGGAAUUCCUGGUGUAGCAGUGAAAUGCGUAGAUAUCAGGAGGAAUACCGAUGGCGAAGGCAGGUCUCUGGGCUGACACUGACGCUCAUGCACGAAAGCGUGGGGAGCAAACAGG
rnacentral:rRNA from 1 species